AAUUUCCUACAUCCUCAAAGGUACAUGAAUAUUUGGAUAAAGGAAGAACGAUUGUAUAUGAGUUAGAUAUAGUCGUUUAAGGAAAUAUGGGUAGUUAGAUAAAUGAGUGAAUAGUGAUUCACUGCAUUUGUUGUUAUCUUUUCUAUUAUUCACUCGAACACAUGUUUUCGUGUUAUCAAAGGUUCAAAUAAACAAAAGCGUCUGAGUAACCCAUCGCGCUAAGGAAAGAGAAUCAUUGUCUUAAGUAGCAAAACACUGCAAUCAGGUGGGCAUUACUUUUACUAUACGUAUAUAGAGAUCCCCUGCGUGUCGUAGGCCUCUUAUACGAAUGAAUGCAUGAGAUGAUUUAACUGUUAAUUUCAGUUUUAUAUAUCUAUCAAACGAAUUUAAUGUUACAUUUAAACAAGUUAUUUCAUGACAAAAAUCUUUGAGUUAAAGUUAUUUCAAGUAUUGUCUUGCCAUAAAAUGUUUAAAUUUUAGUAUGAUAUCUAUCUGCUUUGGCUUUGCCAAUGAUGCAAUCGAAUUCGGGUCCUGAGCAGUUGAUAGCUAUCCUGCCAGGGCUAGUGUACACCAGUGACCGUGAGUCAUCUAGCGGGUUGGCCGGUCAAGUGACCGUGAGAGGUGGCCACCUCUCCGGCACACAGUUCCAGAUAUGAUAGAUUACAAGAGAACUUAGUCUGCAGACGAACUUUAAGAAUCACAAAUGAACUUAGUAAGCUUGGGCCUUUUUAGCGAAAAACUCCCUUGCUGUACUGUUUAUGAUGGCAUGACAAUUUACAGUUUUGAAGCAUGUAUUUUUAUACCUAGGCAUACGUGCCCACUGAGUGCUUUUGUACUCAGCCCUGCAUAUGUUUUCUAAAUGUGCAGGUUGAGCUGAUGUGAUGAUGGUGCUGCAAUAAGCGGAGUCUCCAGGGUUGUUAAUAAAUAGUUAACCUGUCUAGAAUAUGUCUUCAUACAUAUGUCUAGCUACUUUCCGCUGCAAGAUGUUGUUGAUGUUAUAGUAUGUUAUGUCAUACUUUGAGUCUUAAGAGAAUGGUUUCAUAUGAUGUAUAACUUGAUUAAUGAUAUUAAUUAAGUUUUAUGCUGUC
rnacentral:lncRNA from 1 species